ensembl:misc_RNA 7SK 7SK RNA
GGAUGUGAGGGUGACUUGGCUGCAACAUCUAUCACCCAUUGAUUGCCAGGGUUGAUUCAACAGAUCUGGCUCACUAGGCAAAUUUUGCCUUCCUCCCUCACAGUUCCAUGUACAGCCCACCAGAGCUAGAUCAAGGACAACUAUCCCAGAUAGAGGAGGAUCCAUCUUUGGUGAAGGGUAUACCAGUACCUGGGCUUCCCUGCUAGAACUCCCAAGUAAGCUCUCAAGCAUUCCAUGUUGGUAAAUCAAAUGUAUAAUAAAAUAGUGAUCAUUGAGGCUCUGCAGAAAGGAAGGCAAACUAAUACUU